ACGGAAAGACCCCGUGAACCUUUACUAUAGCUUGACACUGAACAUUGAGCCUUGAUGUGUAGGAUAGGUGGGAGGCUUUGAAGCGUGGACGCCAGUCUGCGUGGAGCCGACCUUGAAAUACCACCCUUUAAUGUUUGAUGUUCUAACGUGGACCCGUAAUCCGGGUUGCGGACAGUGUCUGGUGGGUAGUUUGACUGGGGCGGUCUCCUCCUAAAGAGUAACGGAGGAGCACGAAGGUUGGCUAAUCCUGGUCGGACAUCAGGAGGUUAGUGCAAUGGCAUAAGCCAGCUUGACUGCGAGCGUGACGGCGCGAGCAGGUGCGAAAGCAGGUCAUAGUGAUCCGGUGGUUCUGAAUGGAAGGGCCAUCGCUCAACGGAUAAAAGGUACUCCGGGGAUAACAGGCUGAUACCGCCCAAGAGUUCAUAUCGACGGCGGUGUUUGGCACCUCGAUGUCGGCUCAUCACAUCCUGGGGCUGAAGUAGGUCCCAAGGGUAUGGCUGUUCGCCAUUUAAAGUGGUACGCGAGCUGGGUUUAGAACGUCGUGAGACAGUUCGGUCCCUAUCUGCCGUGGGCGCUGGAGAACUGAGGGGGGCUGCUCCUAGUACGAGAGGACCGGAGUGGACGCAUCACUGGUGUUCGGGUUGUCAUGCCAAUGGCACUGCCCGGUAGCUAAAUGCGGAAGAGAUAAGUGCUGAAAGCAUCUAAGCACGAAACUUGCCCCGA
rnacentral:rRNA from 2 species